rnacentral:lncRNA from 1 species
UGAAUAACACGACGGUAAAAGGGCUUUAUAUAAUCAGAUCCCCAUUUCAGUAAAUCCAAUUCUCUUCUCUUUCCCAUUUUCCUCUCCCUCAUUUCUCUUAUUUUCCGCUAUCUUUCACCAUUUCUCUUACUCCUUUCAAUAUUCCCAACCACACAAACUCUUUUUCUUUUUUUUUUCAAAGGUAUGUAUUAAAUUUAUUUAAUUUUAUUUUUCUACAAUGUUUGAUUUUCAUCUUAUUUCAUUUUUGUACAAUGUUUGAUUUUUAUCAUAUUUCCUGUUUUUCUUUUGUUAGUCAAGGAUAAGGCUCAAAAAGUAGAUAAGGCUAGACUUAAGAAGUUGCUCAAGAAAUUGAGGCUCAUUUAAGGUAUUUUUAAGUUGUUA